GCUGUAGCUCAGUGAUAGAGCAUCUGCUUUGUAUGUAGAAGGUCCCAGGAUCAGUCCUUGUCAUAUCCA